rnacentral:tRNA from 1 species
AGGGCAGUAGCUCAGUGGUAGAGCCCUGCCUCGCAUGCGGGGAGACUUGGGUCCGAUUCCCGGUUGCUUCC